AUGAAUGCUUUCACCAUUGCUCUAGGGAAGGGGUUUCACCUGGAGCCCGCGAAGCUCCCGCCCAGCCCGCGGAGGAUGCACAGGGGACAGAGGGGAGAGGCGCAGAGCAGAGCGGGGCUGGCUCGGCUCCCCGGAGCGGCAGAGGCGCAGCCCGGUCUGACAUCGCCCGGCUCCCUUUUUCCUGCAACUACGUCCGCAAAUGAAUGCCGCCUCCAGAGUGUAUGUUUUAAUUUGUCACAUCAAGGCAAUAAAAGGGAGCGAUAUAUACUUAAGCCAGUUAACAUUGUAAUAACAGGUUUAAAGGAGCAAUUAAAUGGUAGUGAGUCGCAUGUCUGACUUUCUAUAGGCAUUACCACAUCAAUGGUACCUUUUAGGCUGACUAUAACUUAGCAUGAUUGUCUCAAUUAGUUUAGCUACAUGAUAGUUAUUGUGAACUCUUUGUGAGUAAUCAAUGUUACGCAAGCUUAUGGGAAGGAGGCUUUAAUAGGGGUGAGCAGCAGCUAAAUCACACGAACCUCCUUUUUUAUGGAAACACCUUUCUCUCUCUGUGUCUGUUUCUAGCUCUCUCUCCCUCUCCUCUUUAUUUCUUUCCUCCAAGCCCCAAGAAAGAAAGGGUAAUUUAUAGACUUAUAAAUCUGUUUCCGAGGUCGGUGUAGCUGAACGUAGAUUUACAGGCAAAAAGCAGCUUCUGCCGCGGUUGAUCAACGAAAGAGCCCAGCGCGGAUGGCGAGGCGCCCCCGCUCCGCCUCUCCUCGGCUUUAGCGGUGCAUGUCGUGGCUGUUCACUGUCACGAUUAAGCCCCGAGCCACAAAUAACCUUGAGGGAUGCUCACGUAUGAGAUGAUACGUGUGUGCAGAAGUCCUAGGGGCGCCUGAGCUUCCCCUUGCUGCCACGGGAGCGGGUCCGAGGGAGCGCUGCGGGGACAGACACGCGUGUGCGUGCGGAACAGGAGCGGCUGCUCGCCUGUGUGGGUGUUAAGGCGAGGGGCGGAGGGAGGAAGGACUGCAAAGCUGGCUUAGAAAUACGAUUUAAUGCACAGAGAAGGGUCCUGCCGGAGCCACGGGCCGCUUGGUAACUUCUUAAUUCUCCACUUACGGAUUCUCUUGCUAAAUACUGAGCUGCGGGUGGCUAACGCAAAAUACAGAGGGCUGGAAAUUGAGUGGGAGAUGCUUGAAUUGCUUCAAAACACUAACAAGUAUGUACUGUUUUCUGUCACGGGGAAAAAAAAAAAGAGCGAGGGACCGUGUGCAGUUGAAAUUUAAGAUAAACAAAAUGCAGGGAUAUUUCUGCUGGUGAAGUUAUUCUCAUUAGUCCUAACAAUGACUCGCUAUUAGACAAGGCUGGAGUCAGCCUCAGUCGCAAGAUUUCAGAUCUGCAAGCUUUUUUUCUUUUUUUUUUUUUUUACAUGCACAUUACAUUUCUGUCAUGCUUUGCACAAGAACACGAUAUCCCCAAAGAACCCAAAGAAGAAAAAAAAUACUCUGACAGCAACCAUUAGUUAAGAGUGCAAUGAAUAAACCCCUUGCACAAGAGUAUCA
rnacentral:lncRNA from 1 species